rnacentral:rRNA from 1 species
UACGGAGGGGGCUAGCGUUGUUCGGAAUUACUGGGCGUAAAGCGCACGUAGGCGGACCAGAAAGCUGGGGGUGAAAUCCCGGGGCUCAACCUCGGAACUGCCUUCAAAACUAUUGGUCUUGAGUUCGAGAGAGGUGAGUGGAAUUCCGAGUGUAGAGGUGAAAUUCGUAGAUAUUCGGAGGAACACCAGUGGCGAAGGCGGCUCACUGGCUCGAUACUGACGCUGAGGUGCGAAAGCGUGGGGAGCAAACAGG